rnacentral:rRNA from 1 species
CAUCGCCUUUUGAUUAAAUAUAAGAGGUCCAGCCUGCCCAGUGACAUAGUUUAACGGCCGCGGUAUCCUAACCGUGCAAAGGUAGCAUAAUCACUUGUUCUUUAAAUAAGGACUAGUAUCAACGGCAUCACGAGGGUUACACUGUCUCCUCUCUUUAAUCAGUGAAACUGAUCUCCCCGUGAAGAAGCGGAGAUAAACCUAUAAGACGAGAAGACCCCAUGGAGCUUAAAACCCAAUAUACACCUCUACGCAUCCCUUACCACAUAAUCCAAGAGUUAUGUAUACUGGUUUUAGGUUGGGGGGACCACGGAGAAAAAUAUAACCUCCAUGACAAACGGGCCAAAGCCCUUAUCCAUGAAUUACAAUUCUAAGAAUUAAUAAACUGAUGUUUAAUGACCCAAUUAUUUGAUCAACGAACCAAGUUACCCUGGGGAUAACAGCGCAAUCUACUUCAAGAGCCCCUAUCGCCAAGUGGGUUUACGACCUCGAUGUUGGAUCAGGGUGUCCUAGUGGUGCAACCGCUACUAAGGG